rnacentral:rRNA from 1 species
CGUAGGUGGCGAGCGUUGUCCGGAUUUACUGGGCGUAAAGGGAGCGUAGGCGGACUUUUAAGUGAGAUGUGAAAUACCCGGGCUCAACUUGGGUGCUGCAUUUCAAACUGGAAGUCUAGAGUGCAGGAGAGGAGAAUGGAAUUCCUAGUGUAGCGGUGAAAUGCGUAGAGAUUAGGAAGAACACCAGUGGCGAAGGCGAUUCUCUGGCAGACAACUGACGCUGAGGCGCGAAAGCGUGGGGAGCAAACAGGAUUAGAUA